rnacentral:rRNA from 1 species
GUCUAUAGCCAUGCCAUCCUGAACAAGCCCGAUGUCUGAUCUUGGAAGCUAAGCAGGGUUGGGCCUGGUUAGUACUUGGAUGGGAGACUACCUAGGAAGUCCAGGUGCGUAGGCA